CCUACGGGUGGCAGCAGUCGAGAAUCAUUCACAAUGGGGGAAACCCUGAUGGUGCGACGCCGCGUGGGGGAAUGAAGGCCUUCGGAUUGUAAACCCCUGUCAUGUGGGAGCAAAUUAAAAAGAUAGUACCACAAGAGGAAGAGACGGCUAACUCUGUGCCAGCAGCCGCGGUAAUACAGAGGUGUCAAGCGUUGUCCGGAAUCACUGGGCGUAAAGCGUGCGUAGGCUGUUUCGUAGGGCGUGUGUGAAAGGCGGGGGCUCAAACCACGGACGGCACAUGAUACUGGGAGGCUAGAGUAAUAGAGAGGUAACCGGAAUUCUCGGUGUAGCAGGGAAAUGCGUAGAUAUCGGGAGGAACACUCGUGGCGAAGGCGGGUUCCUGGACAGUAACUGACGCUGAGGCACGAAGGCCAGGGGAGCGAAAGGGAUUAGAUACCCCAGUAGUC
rnacentral:rRNA from 1 species